rnacentral:rRNA from 1 species
AAUGAACGCUGGCGGCAGGCCUAACACAUGCAAGUCGAACGGAUCCUUCGGGAUUAGUGGCGGACGGGUGAGUAACGCGUGGGAACAUACCCAAAGGUACGGAAUAGCCUCGGGAAACUGGGAGUAAUACCGUAUGUGCCCGAAAGAGGAAAGAUUUAUCGCCUUUGGAUUGGCCCGCGUUGGAUUAGGUAGUUGGUGGGGUAAUGGCCUACCAAGCCGACGAUCCAUAGCUGGUUUGAGAGGAUGAUCGGCCACACUGGGACUGAGACACGGCCCAGACUCCUACGGGAGGCAGCAGUGGGGAAUCUUAGACAAUGGAGGAAACCCUGAUCUAGCCAUGCCGCGUGAUCGAUGAAGGCCUUAGGGUUGUAAAGAUCUUUCAGGUGGGAAGAUAAUGACUGUACCACCAGAAGAAGCCCCGGCUAACUCCGUGCCAGCCGCCGCAGUAA